rnacentral:tRNA from 1 species
GAAAUAUGAGAUUCAAAGGCAAGCUUCUAACUUAGCCUUUAAGCGAUGAAACUUCGUUUAUAUUUCU